CCUACGGGGGGCAGCAGUAGGGAAUUUUCGUCAAUGGGCGCAAGCCUGAACGAGCAAUGCCGCGUGAACGAGGAAGGUCUUCGGAUCGUAAAGUUCUGUUGACGGGGAAAAAGAGCGGAGAGAGGAAAUGAACUCCGAUUGAUAUUACCCUUCGAGGCAGUCACGGCUAACUACGUGCCAGCAGCCGCGGUAAUACGUAGGGUGCGAGCGUUAAUCGGAAUUACUGGGCGUAAAGGGUGUGCAGGCGGUUUUGCAAGAUGGAUGUGAAAGCCCCGGGCUUAACCUGGGAAAGCCAUACAUGACUGCAAGACUAGAGUGCGUCAGAGGGGGGUGGAAUUCCAAGUGUAGCAGUGAAAUGCGUAGAUAUUUGGAAGAACACCGAUGGCGAAGGCAGCCCCCUGGGACGCAACUGACGCUCAUACACGAAAGCGUGGGGAGCAAACAGGAUUAGAUACCCCAGUAGUC
rnacentral:rRNA from 1 species